CUAGCCGUAAACGAUGUGAACUUGGCGUUGGCGGGUUUAAAUCCGUCAGUGCCGUAGCUAACGCGAUAAGUUCACCGCCUGGGGACUACGGCCGCAAGGUUAAAACUCAAAGGAAUUGACGGGGGCCCGCACAAGCAGCGGAGCGUGUGGUUUAAUUCGAUGUUACACGAAGAACCUUACCAGGGUUUGACAUGUAGGUGGUAGUGAAGCGAAAGCGGAACGACUCUUCGGAGAGCCUGCACAGGUGC
rnacentral:rRNA from 1 species